AGAGUUUGAUCCUGGCUCAGAGCGAACGCUGGCGGCAGGCUUAACACAUGCAAGUCGAGCGCCCGUAGCAAUACGGGAGCGGCAGACGGGUGAGUAACACGUGGGAACGUGCCCUUUGGUUCGGAAUAACUCAGGGAAACUUGAGCUAAUACCGGAUAAGCUUACGGGGAAAGAUUUAUUGCCGAAGGAGCGGCCCGCGU
rnacentral:rRNA from 1 species